ensembl:misc_RNA Y_RNA Y RNA
GGCUGGUCCGAUGGUAGUGGGUUAUCAGAACUUAUUCACAUUAGUGUCACUAAAGUUGGUAUUCAACCCCCCACUGCUAAAUUUGACUGGCUUUUA